rnacentral:misc_RNA from 1 species
CAUUGUCGUAACCUGCGAAAGCAAAGCAACUCGCGAACACGUAGUCAACACUCGGGGAUUUGAGCGCGUCCUCCUCGGGGGACGCCCUUUCUCCCCAAAGUCGGGGCGGCCCGGCGCCCGUUGCGAGCUAACGGCCUUCGGGCCUUCCCGACGAAACAAAAAACCGGCGCGGAAUGCGCCAAGGAAUAUGAAAGAGAGUGCGCUCUUCCGGCGCCAGCUCGCGCUGCGCUCGGACGGGCGUCGUCUUCUUGAUGAGUUUAUAAUGACUCUCGGCAACGGAUAUCUCGGCUCUUACAUCGAUGAAGAACGUAGCAAAAUGCGAUACUUGGUGUGAAUUGCAGAAUCCCGUGAACCAUCGAGUCUUUGAACGCAAGUUGCGCCCGAAUCCAUCUGGUUGAGGGCACGUCUGCCUGGGUGUCACGUGCACGCGCCUCCCGCGAACCUUCCCCUUUAUGCGGACGAAGGGUCUCGCGGGAGCAGAUGUUGGUAUCCCGUGCCUGUUUCGCGCGGCUUGCCUAAAAACGGAGAUCCGGCGACGRAACGUCGCGUCUAGUGGUGGUUGAUGAGGCCUAACGGCCGAACCAGUUCGCGGCGCGACCGUUUGUCGCAAGAAAGUCUCGGACGACACCUCGGACGCCCCCUAACGGGCGUGCUACUGUCGCGACCCCAGGUCAGGCGGGACUACCCGCUGAAUUUAAGCAUAUCA